rnacentral:rRNA from 1 species
AUAGUUGUUAAGGCAGGCUAUCUUUUGCCUUGAUAUAUUAGCAUGGGAUAAUGGAAUAGGACUCGGCUCCUGUUUCGUUGGUUUGAGUGGCUGAGUAAUGAUUAAUAGAGACAGUUGGGGGCGUUCAUAUUUAAUUGUCAGAGGUGAAAUUCUUGGAUUUAUGAAAGAUGAACCUAUGCGAAAGCAUUCGCCAAGGAUGUUUUCAUUGAUCAAGAACGAAAGUUAAGGGAUCGAAGACGAUCAGAUACCGUCGUAGUCUUAACUAUAAACGAUGCCGACCAAGGAUUGGGAGACGUUACAUGGAUGACUCCCCUAGCAGCUUGUGAGAA